UGAGGAAUAUUGGGCAAUGCCCGCAAGGGUGACCCAGCAACGCCGCGUGGAGGAUGAAUGUCGUAAGAUUGUAAACUCCUGUUAGAGGGGAAGAAUAGUACCGGUUGGACCGGUAUAUGACUGUACCCUCAGAGAAAGCCCCGGCUAACUACGUGCCAGCAGCCGCGGUAAUACGUAGGGGGCAAGCGUUGUCCGGAUUUACGGGGUGUAAAGGGCGCGCAGGCGGGAUAAAAAGUCAGUGGUGAAAUCCUACAGCUUAACUGUAGAACUGCCUUUGAUACUUUUAUUCUUGAGUUCGGGAGAGAGAGACGGAAUUCCAGGUGUAGUGGUGAAAUACGUAGAUAUCUGGAAGAACACCAGUUGCGAAGGCGGUCUCUUGGUCCGACACUGACGCUGAGGCGCGAAAGCGUGGGGAGCAAACA
rnacentral:rRNA from 1 species